GUCUCAUGGCUCUGGGCUGUUAGGGCAAGCAGUGGGGGAAGACAAGCAAGGCAGCACUCUUAGCUGAACGCAGCAUAUUCUCAGUCUCCGGGGUGGCAUACACCCCACCGCCCUCUUGGAAGUUCCCAGCCCAGUUUUCUUCCCACAAACCAGCAAUUCAAAUCCCGACAAUUCUGCUGCUUUUGCAGCCGCCUCUCCCUCGUUAUGCUAAGAAUGAUCGAGGAGCAAGGAGAAGGCAGGGCGGGCCCCCAAGUCAGGGCCGCCUGGGACGGGGCGCUUUCGGGCCCUGGGCGAGAGCGGGGAGACGAGAGAAGCCGGGUGUCGGGCCGGCCCCGCCGCGCUGGCGGUCACAGACGCUGCCUGCCCCGGGAGCGGGUCCCCUGGACUUACCUGGCGCAGAUUUAUGGGCAAAAGGCUGGGCUUCGAAAUGGCAUGGAUUACAUUCUAAAAUAUAAACAGAUUUUCUGGCACCAGGGGGAUGAAAAGAACACCAGAGAUUGCAAGUACUCAUAAUAACCAUGUUCUUGGAUACUUUUCAUCAAUCCCCCAAUAUAGCUGUAGAAGAGUUACUAUCUAGCUUCUACUAAAGUAUUAAGUAGGGACACUCUGUCUGGCAACUAUGAAGUCACUUAAGCCUUUGGAUUUGUCCUAGGAGCAGUUGGCACCAGAAGCAUGGGUUUAAAUGAGGACACUGUGGCAUCUUGUCCAAGGAAAAUAACCUGUAAUAAACUACAUAUUUGAAAUCAUCUCUAAAGUAUCUAAACCAAGUGUAUUUGCAAGCUUAACCAACAGACACCGGCAUUUUCAAAAACAUAAACAAAGACAAAUUUGGAUUUCUGACUGGUUUCUCUAAGAAGUGUUUCUACGUUAAUAAAACUUUCUCACUCAGAAAGUAAAAUAUC